AAUACAAAAUUAGCUGGGCGUGGUGGUGUGCACCUUUAAUCCCAGCUACUGGGGAGGCUGAAGCAGGAGAAUUGCUUGAACCCGGGAGGUGGAGGUUGUGGUGAGCUGAGAUUGCACCACUGCACUCCAUCCUGGGUGAUAAAGUGAGACUCCAUCUCAAAAAAAAAAAAUUAUUUUACUCUGUGUAGUUAUUAAAUAUACUUAGGGAGAUACUUUGAAACUAAGAAAAUAUCCUUUUUCUGCUUGAAGUUUAACCCCUUGAAUUGGGCAUCCUUUGGUAGAUCGUUAUCUUCACUGUCAGUGCUUAGUAAGUUAUAGUCAUGAUGAUGAUGACGAUGAUGAUGAUGAACUGGAUCCUAGAAGAGCACUUGCCAGCCAGGUACCUGGAACUAGUUUUUCCUCUUGGAGCCUCACCUUUCUCAUUCAUAAAAUGGGACAAUCAUGGAUCUGACCUCACUGAGUUGUGGAGGUGUGUUGAACCGAGAUACUGACAGCAAAACACCCAGCACAGGAUUUGACACAUAGCAGGGAUUUUGGUUUGGGAAUGUCAUUGCUAGGGGACUGAAUUGUGCAGGGUGGGAGGUGGCCAUGUGGGGCACCAGGGGGCUCUGGGUGGGAAUGAUCCUGAAGCAAUCCCUGCAAUUGUCUGUAGUCAACAAGAGGGAGGAGGGUUGUCUCUGGAGGUCAGGAAGGGAGCCUGAGAGAGUUUCCAAACUAGACCAGCUUUCUGGAGGAGGUGAAUUCAGAAAAAUGAGACUUGGAAGACAUCACUGGAAGUCAUUUAUGCAAAGUCUGGAGGUUGGAACAGAAAAGGGAGGUCAUGGCAGGUAGGCACUAACUGAGCCCUCAUGCAACAAUAGGUUUUGGUGACCAAAGCCACUCUCAGUACCCCCUUCCAGGGCUGGGGACGAGGCUGCCAGGGGAUGGCAGGUGCCUGAGUGCCCCUCUUCCCAAUGUCAAGGCAUAUGCAGGAUUAUCCCAGAAACUCUACCCAGAUGGAUGAACGGAGUUGAACCCGAGUGUGGUGGGCAUACAUCUAUUAAUCCACUCUCUCAUUUAUUCAGCAAAUAUUUAUUAAGCACCAACUAUGUGCCAGGCUCUGGGCUGGACAGUGAGCACAUGGCAGAGAACAGAGCAGUUCAUGGAGCACCCAUUCCAGAGACAGAAAACAUGCUAUGCCUUCAAGCUUGGGCCCUGCUCGGUCUCGUCUAUAUAUAAAGAAGAGGAUCUAGGUUUGUGCAGCCUCUAAGGAAAAGAAUACAACAUUUUGCAAAUCUUGCAAAACACACAGAAAUCAUGCUAACACAUGGCUGAUACUCUUUCCAUGUGAGGAGGCUUGAAGUUUAAGCUUAAGUAAUUUCCAGGUAAAUGCACCUCUGAUUACACAUCUGCAUAUUUAUCUACUGCGUGUCUCCCACUAAGAAUGUAAGUUCCAAGACUGCAAGAAUUUGUAUCUGAAUUGUUAACUCCUGGGGCCCGGUUCCUAGUAUAUUGUAGAAGCUUUAUAAACUAUUUGUUGAAAGAACCAGUUGGGGCUAGUUUCACAGGUAGAAGUACAAUGGCCUAGCCUGAGGCUUGAGGAGUGCAAAGGUUUGGGAUGAUAUCACUGAAACCUCAAAACGGUGAGUAUAACACCCAUUUAAAAGCUGGGAAUGAGGCUGGGCGACAUGGUGGCUCACACCUGUAAUCCCAGCACUUUGGGAGGCCAAGGCGGGCAGACCACGAGGUCAGAAGGUCAAGACCAACCUGGCCAACACGGUGAAACCCCGUCUCUACUAAAAACACAAAAAUUAGCUGGGCGUGGUGGCACGUGCCUAUAACCCCAGCUACUUGGGAGGGUGAGGCAGGAGAAUCACUUGAACCUGGGAGACACAGGUUGCAGUGAGCUGAGCUCCUGCCACUGCACUCCAGGCUAGCAAGAGAGGGAGACUCUGUCUCAAAAAAAAAAAAAAAAAAAAAAUGCUGGGGAUGGCAGGGUGCAGUGGCUCACACCUGUAAUCCCAACAAUUUGGGAGGCCAAGGCAGGUGGAUCACCUGAGGUCAGUAGUUCGAGACCAACCUGGCCAACAUGUAGAAACCCUGUCUCUACUAAAAAUACAAAAAUUGCUGGGCGUCGUGGUGCACACCGGUAGACUCAGCUACUGGAGGGGCUGAGGCAGGAGAAUUGCUUGAACCCAGGAGGCAGAGGUUGGCAACAGAGUGAGACUCCGUCUCAAAAAAAAAAAAAAAAAUGCUGGGGAUCCUAAGAGCCCAGGAGGUGAAGCAGGUGCCCAACCAGAAGUGGCACUGGGCCUAGAACCCGCAUUUGCCUUGCCUCUUGCCCUGCCUUUGCUCCCAGCCACUGUCCUCCCUUUAACCCCCCUUGCACAAGGCCUUGAUGCAACCCUGUACUGGCCUGGGGCACCCUGCUUGAGGACAGCGUUGGGAACGAGGUUUUGCAAGAGUUGCAGCAGGAAGCAGCACCAGCCAGGGCAGGUCCAGGGAGAUAAGGGCACCCUCGCCCCUCCCUGUGCUCCUCCUGGCCUUCUGGUUUCCUCUUCCCUUCCCUUUCCUGGAAAGUGGCGCCUGCCUGGACCCUGGCCCCAGCCUCGCCCAGCUCCUGGCCUGGCCCUGUGACUCACCUCCUUUCUUUCCGGCAGCCAUGCUAGGAUGUGAGACCUGCCUGCCACCAGGAAGCCCUGCUGUGUGUGACACUGGGCAGCAGGGAGCUCUCUCUGGCUGGCAGUUCCUGGUGCUCAAUAAGAGUGACUGGCAUGGGUCGGGUGUGGUGGCUCACGCCUGUAAUCCCAGCACUUUGGGAGGUUGAGGAGGGCUGAUCACCUGAGGUCAGGAGUUCGAGGCCAGCCUGGGCAACAUGGUGAAACCCCGUCUCUACUAAAUAUAUAAAAAUUAGCCAGAUGUGGUGGUGCGCGUCUGUAAUCUCAGCUACUCAGGAGGCUGAGGCAUGAGAAUUGCUUGAACCCGGGAGGCGGAGGUUGCAAUGAGCCAAGAUCACGCCACUGCACUCCAGCCUGGGCGACAGAGCGAGACUCUGUCUCAAAAAAAAAAAAAAAAAAAAAAAAAGAGCCGGGCACGGUGGCCUCAUGCACUUUGGGAGGCUGAGGAGGGUAGAUCACCUGAGGUCAGGAGUUCGAGAGCAGCCUGGCAAACAUGGUGAAACCCUGUCUCUACUAAAAAUACAAAAAUUAGCUGGGCGUGUUGGCAUAUGCCUGUAAUCCCAGCUUCUUGGGAAGCUGAGGCAGAAGAAUUGCUUGAAACUGGGAAGCGGAGGUUGCGGUUGAGUCGAGAUCGCCCCAUUGCACUCCAGCCUGGGUGACGAGGAAAACUGUCUUAAAAAAAAAAAUAGACAUUCCCCAAUAUGGGUUGCAAAAAUUGUGAUAUGUGUAUAUUUCUUGCAUUUAUCUGAGUUAUGCUUUUAAAACAAAUAAAUAUAAUGACCAGGUAUGAUUUCAGUUGGAAAUAAGAUGAAAGGCUUUAUAAACUGGACAUACUGUGGGAACAUGAGGCCCCUCAUAAACCUGAUUUAGACAAGUCUGAUUUCUGGAAAGUCCUCUAAGGUAAUGUGCAAUGUGGCCUUGGGUGGGUCACCUCACCUCUUUGAUGCCUCCGUUUUCUCAUCUGAAAAGUGAACACAGGCCGGGCACGGUGGCUUACAUCUGUAAUCCCAGCUCUUCGGGAAGCUGAGGUGGGCAGAUCCCUUCAGGUCAAGAGUUCGAGACUAGCCUGGCCAACAUGGUGAAAACCCUUUUCUACAAAAAAAAUACAAAAAUUAGCUGGGCAUGGUGGCACGUGCCUGUAAUCCCAGCUACUCGGGAGGCUGAGGCAGGAGGAUCACUUGAACCUGGGAGGUGGAGGUUGCAGUGAGCCAAGAUGGUGCCACCGCACCCCAGCCUGGGCAAUAGAGGGAGACUCUGUCUCAAAAAAACCAAAAAAGUGAAUAUACCAGUAGGCCCACACCUGGUAGGGCUGUUGAGACAAUCCGCUCAAAACACUUUAUUGCAAUAUGCACUAAGUAUCUACCAUGAGCCUGUGCUAUGCUUUUUAGGUGCAUUGGUUCAAUUAAUCCUUGAAGCCCAGGUUCUGAAGCCCGUUUUCCAAAAAAGAAGAGGCUCUGACAGGUGAAGUGAUGAGCAUCAAGGUUGAUUCUGGGCUUGUGUUCUACCUGCCUCCCUACUAAAAUGUUAGCCUAUUACUCUUGUUGUAGUGGUGGUGGUUGCUCUUAUUAAAAUGAGCAUAUGAUGAUAGCACUGGCCUCGUUAACAAGUUCUGACGAUUAAAUGAAUUGAUAUUGUAAAGAGUUUAGCAUGGUGCCCAGCACACAAUAAGCUCUCUGUAUUUCUUAAAUAAAAUUAACAGUACAGCCCCGGAAAGGCAGAGUCCAGUGCCCAAGAAACUUGGUCCUCGGGUUUCUCGGCAUCUUCCACCCCAGCUCCUGGCUUCGUCCUGUCCAGGAGGGGUUAAGGAGUUAAUGAUUUCCAAAGGAGCAGGGUUUUGUGUGUUACAUGCACACACACCGGUGGCCUCUGUCCCCCCUCCCUCUGCGAGGCCCGGAGCCUCUUAUGCAAGCCGCCGGCGCCCGCCGGUUCCCAGGCCCGGCUGCAGCUGGGGGCGGAGGGGCAGGGCGGGGGCGGCGCGCUGUUUGUCUAGCGCGGCUGUGCCAAAGGCUGCGGGCCCCAGACAGCCAGGCGCCUCCGUACACCUGGGGAUGCUCAGGUUAAAUAGCUCCGCAUUCCUCGGGCCCAGCUGAUGGAAACGCUCCCAGGCCGCCGCGGAGCCGGCCUCCAGAUGGGCUGGGUCUGGGCCAAAGGGGAACAGAGGGAAACGUGGAAUCCAGAGUGUGCCUGAAUGGCGGGGGAGGUGGCCCAGGCCCCCGCCGCAGCCCCUUCCUCCCCUGGAAAAAGGCCCUGCAUGUCGGAGUACGCGAGGGGGAACCCGCUCAGACCCCGUGGGUGGGCUUGCAGGCGGGGGCCCACACGUGAGAGUGCGUGCGUGCACACGUGUGCCUCCGAGGACACUCCAAGGACUCACAGGCGACAAUAAUAAUUUAUAACUAUGAAACAUUCUGUGCCAAGCACUGUGCUAAACGUUUUACACACUUACUUUAUUUCAUUUAUUCUGUACUACAUUCCGUGAGGUUAGUACUGUAAUACAGCAGCCGGUGGGGAGGAGGUAGCAAAGAACAUAAUUCGCCUGCAAGUACUGGGUUCUUCGAUAAAAUCCAUAAACUGUGGAGGGGGUGUACCUGGCUUAAUGUUAGUGCUCAAAUCAUAAUCUUUCAUUUGAUUUUUUGUUCAUCCCCUCUCUGAGCUUGUUCCUUCUGCUGUAAAACUGGGAUCACAGUCUUGCCUUUAGCCCCACAGGGAUCCAUGAAAUCGUUUUUGUAAAGGGUUCAGUUGAGCAGAGCCAGGCUUCUGGUGCUAAGGGCUAUUGAUUUUAUUCUAUUGUUUAUUGACAAAAUAUAUUAAUAGCCCUUACCUGUCUGGGACAAGUUCUUUGUCAUUCCUGGGACUCAGUUUCUCCAUAUGUAAUACAGGGGGGUUUACCUGGCAGCAAUCCUUGAGGGUUGGUGCCCCCAGGACCUAACGAUAGCCCAGGGAGUUGCCACGUGAACUUUUGAGGAAGGGUUUGCCCAAACACAGCUGUCCCCACCUUCACUCCAGACCCGCAGAGGCCCAGGAAUGCCAACCAAUCUAUAGAACAGUUAUACACACAGAAACCCACAGUGUGGUUCUGUGGCCCCCAGACACACAAACCCAUCCAUCAUGCCAGACCCAUGCAGAGAUGCCUACAAUGCAUUUAGGCAGAACACACAAGCCCAAACAGCUGGAGGUUCCACACUUAUCUGCAGAACACAUGUGCUCUCAUUUGCCCUUCUGCACACACCCCCAAGCAUACUCCUACUUACACCCCCUCCCCCAAGCCUAUAUGUGAACAGUUGGCCCAUCCCCACUGUGGGAGUAGUGGGGGAAGAUCAGCUUACUCCUGUUACAUACACAGGCGUAGACACUCAUACAUGCUCCCCUGAGUAGAAAUCCACAUACAUGUCCAGGAAGAUUCUUAGACCCUUGCCAAUGACAUAUUUUUCCUGCUCAGGAGCUGGGUAAUGAGACUCGUCCACUCCUCAGAUCCUACGCAGGAGCCCCGGGGUUGGUGGGGGAGAUUUGUUUGAACUGCCGACAGAGCCAGGCCAGAGUGAGGAGGCCGAGUCUGGACCCAGAGCAGGUGUCUCGGCAGCUGUGCCCAGCCUGGCCCUGCCAACUUGCUCACCCACUUGGAUGAGCCAGGAGCCCCAGGGCUGCCUGCUGGAACCCAGAGGUAGGCUGUUGGGGGAGGCACCUCCAACUGGGGAAUGGGGUGAUAGAAUCACUGCCUCUCACAAGCUAUGGCCCUAAGCAAGUCCCUUUCCACUGGGUCUCACUUUAUCCACAUCUUGGCAAGGAAGUGGGUGGUCCAGCGGCCAGGUUCUCCAACUUAAAUGGCUUGCUCAAUACUCCCAAUACAGAGGGGGCCCUGGCAGGUUCAUCUGCAUUUUAACAACCUCCCCAGGUGAUCUAGAUGGCCCAAUGAUCACUGUGAGAAACCCCAGAGGUCUGGAGUAUUUAGUUUUAUAACACUGGGGAGCAGGGAAAUGGGCAGGGAUGGUGGGGGAAGAAUAGACUUUAAAGACACCGGAAACACUCAUUCAGGCCGGUAAGAGCAACAAUCCAGAUGUAGCCCUCCAAUUCUCCUCCCAGAACCAGCUGUGAAGAGGGUCAGGGGUCAACCCCCAGCCCAGGCCCCUCCCCUCAACCCAAGAAGUCACUACAACUUUACCACCAUCUAAAUUAUUUGUUUAAUAACAAAAAAACAGCCCCACAGAACUAUUGUAAAACAAUAUUU
rnacentral:lncRNA from 1 species